rnacentral:rRNA from 1 species
CCUACGGGAGGCAGCAGUGGGGAAUUUUGGACAAUGGGCGAAAGCCUGAUCCAGCAAUGCCGCGUGCAGGAUGAAGGCCUUCGGGUUGUAAACUGCUUUUGUACGGAACGAAAAGGCGCCUACUAAUACUGGGUGUUGAUGACGGUACCGUAAGAAUAAGCACCGGCUAACUACGUGCCAGCAGCCGCGGUAAU